rnacentral:rRNA from 1 species
GGUAACGUGGGGAGGAGCUUGCUCCGCCCCGACGACGAGUGGCGAACGGGUGAGUAAUACAUCGGAACGUGUCCGCUCGUGGGGGACAACCAGCCGAAAGGUUGGCUAAUACCGCAUGAGUUCUACGGAAGAAAGAGGGGGACCCGCAAGGGCCUCUCGCGAGCGGAGCGGCCGAUGACUGAUUAGCCGGUUGGUGAGGUAACGGCUCACCAAAGCAACGAUCAGUAGCUGGUCUGAGAGGACGACCAGCCACACUGGGACUGAGACACGGCCCAGACUCCUACGGGAGGCAGCAGUGGGGAAUUUUGGACAAUGGGCGCAAGCCUGAUCCAGCUAUUCCGCGUGUGGGAUGAAGGCCCUCGGGUUGUAAACCACUUUUGUAGAGAACGAAAAGACACCAUCGAAUAAAUGGUGUUGCUGACGGUACUCUAAGAAUAAGCACCGGCUAACUACGUGCCAGCAGCCGCGGUAAUACGUAGGGUGCGAGCGUUAAUCGGAAUUACUGGGCGUAAAGGGUGCGCAGGCGGUUGAGUAAGACAGAUGUGAAAUCCCCGAGCUUAACUCGGGAAUGGCAUAUGUGACUGCUCGACUAGAGUGU